rnacentral:lncRNA from 1 species
UUUAAGGCUGAUUCAAGUGCCCAACGCAGCACAACAAACAAAGCCACCACUCUCACCAUUGACCAAGAGAGGACCUUGGGACUACUGGAGGUCGUCGAUCAGGUGUAUCCUUCUGUGGUUGGAACUUAAGCUUGUGCAUGGCGGAGUAGGUGGUGGCAGCUAAGAAAGAAGAAGCAGAGCAGGGCGGAAGAGACCUUCAGAGUUUUGGUUCUCAUAUUUUCCGUUUUUGGCUUGCUAGGUUUUUGCAGAUUCACGGCAGAGGUGAGAAAUUGAGAGAGAACUAACAUAACUUUUCGUAAUGUUGAUGCACAAAAUCGAAGGGGUCUUGGAACAACGUAAAUCCGACUGCGAAUCUGCAAGUAAGUUAUGUAACACAAGAUGUAUCGUGGUUCACCCCAAGGUUUGGGCUACGUCCACACUGAUUAUGUAUUUAUCUGAGGGAGAGAUAACUCUAAGAUGAGAGCUUUGAGAGGGGGUGAGAGGGCCUAGGAAUUGGCCUCUCUAAUUGUGAGGGUGAGGGAUCCUUUUAUAGAAUAAGGACUUCUCACUUAUUACAUAUUUGCCCCUUCCUUUAUCACAUAAUUACAUUUAAGUCCCCCGAGUAUUUGUACGAGAUCUAAAUACGAGGCCCUAAAUAUGGUAUAAACAAAAGGAGAAUAAAUUUUUUUUUUGUAUUAGCUUAAUGUAUAUAUGGAAAGUAUCAGACAAAUAUAAUCAUGAAUUUAAUUUAGAAUUUUCAAAUUUAGUUUAAACAUUGGGAAGUAAGCAUGUAAAUAUAAUAGAAGUAAAACCCCCAAGACAACAAUUUUUUACAAUUUUUUAGAAGGAACCCAAUGAGCAUUACCUAAAGUAGCAAGAAACUGGCAGCCUGAUUGUGUACAAAUAUAUGAAGUUAGCGAUUUAAACUCGAACUCGAUUGCACCGCCAUGUUUGUAAAUUUUCUCUUUUUUGUAGUAGUCUUAUCUUUGCCCCUUUGGUUCUCAUCAAGAAAUUAUAUUCUUUGGUUGAUAAUAACUACAACUGUGAAGUUGGAACGGGUGGGAAAUUUUUAGUUUCUACAAAUGAAAUUGAGUUAAGUAUAAUAAUUACACUCGCUCUAAUAGAACUGAUAGAAAAGAUGAUACUACAUGAUCAGAAAGUUGAUGUCGCAAGAUUAUCGAUCAGUGCAACUUCACCGCUGCUUAUUGCCUUGGGGGUAGGCAACCCAAUUCACUCUAGCCCACUCGGGCAAUUGGAGCCAAGGAGAGCUCGAUGGAGAAGUCAGGCAAUAAUUGCAUAGUCUAGUGCCCUGCCUAUGUGAUGUCAUCCACAAUUUCAAUUAUUAAAACAUUAUAAAAAAACUAAUUAAAAAUGUAAAAAAUUAUAAUUUUUUUUUCUAUAAAUACAUAACCAUAUUCUUCCACUUUAUACUACAUUUCAACAUUUUCAAAUACUUUUAACUGAUCUUUUAUUAUUAUCUGAAAUUAAAAAUAAAGUUAUCUUUUAUUAUUUUAUAAAAUUAAAGAUACUAAUAUUUUAAUACGAAUUGCCUUGGCUAUUCAGGUUGCAAUGCAUUUGGACAGUUACUGUUCAUUUAAGAGAAUUGAGUUGCCUAUUGCCUAGGGGGCUUCCUACACUAGAAGUGCUCUCAUAGUGGUGUCUUGGAUAUGUGUUAGAGAAAGGAUAAAAUUGUUCCAACAGGAUCCUCUUUGGAUCCUUUUGGUGAGGAUCCUUUCUGGAUCUUUUUGGUGAGGAUCCUAGAGAUCCGUAAAUCGUAUCCGUUCAUUGUACAUCGUGUGGUCAGUUUUUGUCAUGUACUUGUAUUUAAUUUUAAAUAAAAAUAUUUAAAAUGAUUUCUGACAUGAUGUAUGAUAAACGGAUAUGAUUCAUGGAUCACUGGAAUCCUCACAAAGAGGAUUCAGCGAGGAUCUGGAUUCAAAAUUGUUGAGCAUUGAAUGGAUUCCUGUGACAAUGUCAUGGAUCUUAUUGGACUUCUUCAUGAGCAGUAAUAAGUUCUUGCGCAGGAUAUAACUGUUAGUUAUAUCAAACCAGACGU